rnacentral:sRNA from 1 species
GCCAGGCAUGGUGGCGCACACCUGUAGUCCCAGCUACUCAGGAGGCUGAGGUGGGAGGAUCGCUUGAGCCCAGGAGUUCGAGGCUGCAGCAAGCCAUGAUUAUGCCACUGCACUCCAGCCUGGGCAACAGAGCAAGACCCUGUCUCUU